rnacentral:lncRNA from 1 species
AUGCCUGACAGGGCCCUUGUGCAUUGUGUGAGAGCAGUAACCCUCAGUGGGGGUGCCGUGGGCCAUGCCCAGCCUGCAGAAACGAGUAUGUGGCAACGAGGACUGGGAGCAAAGGGGACGUCGUGCAGAAAGCUCUUCUUGAUUUGGUCUAUCACCACCAUUGUGAGAUACACUGGAAUAAUUGCCCAUCUGACGACAGGAAAACAUGCAAGCCCUUGGAAGUGGAACUUGCUUUAUACAUAUGAGAAUGGAGCAAGCAAUGCUUCCAAUAAAAGAAUUGUGAAACUAUUCCCAUCGGUGGCCUGUCCUCUACCCACAAUGGUGAUGGAGAAGACUGUUGGAUUUCCAUCAGGAGAACAAUUUGAGUGUGGACUCUACUGCCACAAAUUUAAGAAAGCUCUCCAGUUGCUGCUUGCCAAAGAAACAGGGUGAAGACCACAUUAUCAUUUAAGAAAACACUUUUCAAGUGAACCAGAAAAGCAGUGAGCAAAUGCUGGGUGAUGUGUUCAAUCCAUCCUGGAAGCAUAAUGCCAUUCCUGGACAUGGUUCUUGGUCAUGUAAAGCCAACACUUGGGCAUGCAAUUGCAUUUCUGAGAAAGAAGACAUUUUUUCCAUUAUCUUCCGAUCCAAAUGUACUCAUCUGACAAGUGAAAUUAAGUUUUAUUUUUCUGUUCCUGCUCCCAUGCUUGUGUUUGAGGCUUCCAGCCCUCAGCUACAUUUUUGCAGGCAUCUUUAAUGAGGUUGUGGAGAUGUCACUGGUAUGGCCAUGGCUUGGGUGGCAUGGAGCUCUGGAAGAACGUGAGCAGAAAGGGCUGUUUCUGCAAAGAAGGGAAAACAGCCUGGACAUAGGACAGCUGUGGUUCUGGGGCUGGAAGGCUGCAUGCAGAGCCAGAGGCAAGGCCUGACCUCUGCGUGCUGAGAUGAAAGCAAAUGUUGGUGUUUUGUGUUUGUCCCCAUCUAUGAGCAUGUGUAUAGUCUCAUGCCAUGGCUCAGCUGACAUGUGACAUCUUGCUCUGCUGUUUGAAGGUCUGAGUCUUCAAAUAUUAAAAAAGAAGAUAAAUGAAUAAAAGAAAACAAAAACAAGCA